UGUUAAUGUCAAUGUCAUUUGUCGCUCCUUAAAAAGCUGAGGACAGUAAGAUUAUUUGAAUGAAUUCUGUCUCCAGUAGUAAGAUACUCUUCAGUCCUCAUGAGGGGGCAAAAGGACAGUUUUUUUAACCGGGCUUCAUACCCACAUCCUGCAGUCUGCUCAUGAUCUGCUCUUGUCCCCUGAAGCGGUGCGACUCCACUAACGACAACAUGUCCCGGUGAAUAGCCUACAAGACCUUCGAUUAGAGUGAAACAAGCUGUUGGUAACAUGGGGAAUAACUCUGGAAAAGAACGACAUGGAUCUGCAGAGACAUACAAAGAGAUUUUUCACAAGAGAAAAAUUAACAGCAGAGA